rnacentral:rRNA from 1 species
UGGGGAAUAUUGCACAAUGGGCGGAAGCCUGAUGCAGCGACGCCGCGUGGGGGAUGAAGGCCUUCGGGUUGUAAACUCCUUUCGACAGGGACGAAGCUUUUGUGACGGUACCUGUAUAAGAAGCACCGGCUAACUACGUGCCAGCAGCCGCCGUAAUACGUAGGGUGCGAGCGUUGUACGGAAUUACUGGGCGUAAAGAGCUCGUAGGUGGUUUGUCGCGUCGUCUGUGAAAUUCCGGGGCUUAACUCCGGGCGUGCAGGCGAUACGGGCUGACUUGAGUGCUGUAGGGGAGAAUGGAAUUCCUGGUGUAGCGGGGAAAUGCGGAGUUAUCAGGAGGAACACCGAUGGCGAAGGCAGGUCUCUGGGCAGUAACUGACGCUGAGGAGCGAAAGCAUGGGUAGCGAACAGG